UAGAAAUCACGUUCUCUCUCCAAACCAAACAUCGUCUCAUUAACUUCGUACAACUGUGUUUCAAGACUAGUGAUUUGUUGUUGUGCUUGCUUUGCCCUUAACACUGCCGCAGUAUUUGCAGUCGAAGACACGUUAUUGUUGUUUGCUGAUGACUUAGUCAUUGAAGGUGUAGAACUACCAGAAGAAACCUGACGGCGACGAGAAGGGCCAGUUGCUCCUGCAGAGGAAUUCAUAACACGAGUGUUAGCAGGUCCUCUAUUCCCCCGGCGUGCCAGCGCAUCAUAAUCGCCCCCAGGAUAAUAUUGAUCCCAAAAACGUUUGGCCCAUUGAACGAACUCCAGAUUAUCUUGCAUUUUACAACGCGAUAGUCUCUCAGGGUCUACAACUUUAUCGAUACCCUUCUUC